GACGAACGCUGGCGGCGUGCUUAACACAUGCAAGUCGAACGGUGAAGCCCUUCGGGGUGGAUCAGUGGCGAACGGGUGAGUAACACGUGAGCAACCUGCCCCUGGCUCUGGGACAACCACUGUAAACGGUGGCUAAUACCGGAUACGACCCGCCUCGGCAUCGAGUGUGGGUGGAAAGUUUUUCGGCUGGGGAUGGGCUCGCGGCCUAUCAGCUUGUUGGUGAGGUGAAGGCUCACCAAGGCGACGACGGGUAGCCGGCCUGAGAGGGCGACCGGCCACACUGGGACUGAGACACGGCCCAGACUCCUACGGGAGGCAGCAGUGGGGAAUAUUGCACAAUGGGCGAAAGCCUGAUGCAGCGACGCCGCGUGAGGGAUGACGGCCUUCGGGUUGUAAACCUCUUUCAGCUCCGAAGAAGCGAAAGUGACGGUAGGAGCAGAAGAAGCACCGGCUAACUACGUG
rnacentral:rRNA from 1 species